AAAAUCCGUCGACUUUCAAAAUCGUGAGGGUUCAAGUCCCUAAUGGUCAAGCCCUCUAUCCCCA
rnacentral:tRNA from 1 species